GAAGAAUGUAUAGCGAUUGCUAAUUGUUUCAUAUCCACAAAAAAAAUGAAGCAGUCUCGAUUUAAUCGAAUAAAAUUCUGGGUAAAAUUAUGAUAAUGACAUUAUUUAUCCAUGAGUCUUGACCAAAUUACGUGCCAGCAGUCGCGGUAAUACGUAGAAGACUAGUGUUAUUCAUCUUUAAUAGGUUUAAAGGGUACCUAGACGGCAUAUUAAGCCUUAGUUGGAACUGAUUUGCUAGAGUUACUUAUGAGGAAGUUUUAAUGUACUAGAGGUGUAGAGAUGAAAUUCAGUGAUACCUUUUUUCCAAUGAAAAAUUUCGGCACAGGUAUAGGUGAAAACAUCUUCUUAUGGGAUAACUGACGUUGAGGGACGAAGGCUUUUUAUCGCGAACAGGAUUAGAUACCCUGGUAGUCAAAGCAGAAAAUGAUGAAUGUCAUAGAUUAGAUAGAAAUUUAUUCUAUAAAUGAAAGUGUAAGCAUUCCACCUCAAGAGUAAUUUGGCAACAUUGGAACUGAAAUCAUUAGACCGUAUCUGAAACCAGUAGUGAAGUAUGUUAUUUAAUUUGAUAAUCCGCAAAAAACCUUACCACAGCUUGAAUGUUUAUUAUACUUGCUUUUACUGCAUGUUUUGUGUGGAGUCCAGUAUAUAAUAUAUAUUGCUAUUUAUGCUAUCAUGUAUAAAAGGGAAAUUAUAUAGAUACAAGUGUUGCACGGCUGUCUUCAGUUAAUGUCGUCAGACUAUGGUUAGCUCCAAGAAAUUAACGUAAACCCUUGCUCUAGUUUUAAAUAGAGUAGUUCUCCACUAUAUUGGAUAAGAUAACAGGGAUCAAGAC
rnacentral:rRNA from 1 species